rnacentral:pre_miRNA from 1 species
CCUGUACUCCCUUCGUCCCAAAAUUCAUGUCUUACAUUUGUCUAAAUACAGAUGUACCAAAUAUUGUCUUAGAUUUGUCUAGAUACAAAUGUAUCUAAUAUUAAGACGUGACUUAAUACAUUCGUACUUAGAUAAAUCUACUUAGAUAAAUCUAAGACAAGACUUUCGGAACGGAGGGAGUAGAAU